UGACGUCAAGUACAUCAUGGCCCCUUACGGCCUGGGCUACACACGUGCUACAAUGGUCGGUACAAAGGGUUGCCAAGCCGCGAGGUGGAGCUAAUCCCAAUAAAACCGAUCGUAGUCCGGAUCGCAGUCUGCAACUCGACUGCGUGAAGUCGGAAUCGCUAGUAAUCGUGAAUCAGAAUGUCACGGUGAAUACGUUCCCGGGCCUU
rnacentral:rRNA from 1 species